rnacentral:rRNA from 1 species
UACGUAGGGGGCAAGCGUUGUCCGGAUUUAUUGGGCGUAAAGAGCUCGUAGGCGGUUUGUCGCGUCUGCCGUGAAAGUCCGGGGCUCAACUCCGGAUCUGCGGUGGGUACGGGCAGACUAGAGUGCGGUAGGGGAGACUGGAAUUCCUGGUGUAGUGGUGAAAUACGUAGAGAUUGGGAAGAACGCCAGUGGCGAAGGCGGCUAUCUGGACGGUUUCUGACGCUAAGACGCGAAAGCGUGGGGAGCAAACAGG